ACCACACACGUUAUGUUGCCGUCUCGCUCUAAUGUUGAGAGGAGGGCAUGCGGCGCGGUAAAAUAAAAACAUUGAAUGAAACAGCUCGCAAUGAUUGCCACCGGUUACAUAUGGGUUACGCAUUGCCUUGACAAAUCGUUGUAAAUUGUCAGAACGCAGUAAAAAUUCAAACACACGGCUAGGCAUGGUAUGCAUCCAGGGUGGUAAGACAUAUUGACACUUCGGUCGAAAACUCAGCGGGGAGUCCUUCUAUAGAUCUUCUACGAACGCCGUGUGGGAUAUACCUGAUUGAGACCACAAAGGUUAAUUAUCCUGUCUCCGAAUCUCUUCGCGAUGUCAGUGCGUGUAAGAGAUGGCGGGAGAGUUUCCCUCUUAGAGAGAUACUGCGAUAGUGACCAU